CGUCGAGCGGCGGACGGGUGAGUAACGGCUGGGAACCUGCCCUGACGAGGGGGAUAACCGUUGGAAACGACGGCUAAUACCGCAUAAUGUCUACGGACCAAAGGUGGCCUCUACAUGUAAGCUAUCGCGUUGGGAUGGGCCCAGUUAGGAUUAGCUAGUUGGUAAGGUAAUGGCUUACCAAGGCAACGAUCCUUAGCUGGUUUGAGAGGAUGAUCAGCCACACUGGGACUGAGACACGGCCCAGACUCCUACGGGAGGCAGCAGUGGGGAAUAUUGCACAAUGGGGGAGACCCUGAUGCAGCCAUGCCGCGUGUGUGAAGAAGGCCUUCGGGUUGUAAAGCACUUUCAGCAGUGAGGAAGGUCGUGUACUUAAUACGUGCACGGCUUGACGUUAGCUGCAGAAGAAGCACCGGCUAACUCCGUGCCAGCAGCCGCGGUAAUACGGAGGGUGCGAGCGUUAAUCGGAAUUACUGGGCGUAAAGCGCAUGCAGGCGGUUUGUUAAGUCAGAUGUGAAAGCCCGGGGCUCAACCUCGGAACCGCAUUUGAAACUGGCAGGCUAGAGUCUUGUAGAGGGGGGUAGAAUUUCAGGUGUAGCGGUGAAAUGCGUAGAGAUCUGAAGGAAUACCAGUGGCGAAGGCGGCCCCCUGGACAAAGACUGACGCUCAGAUGCGAAAGCGUGGGUAGCAAACAGGAUUAGAUACCCUGGUAGUCCACGCCGUAAACGCUGUCUACUUGGAGGUUGAGGUUUUAGACUUUGGCUUUCGGCGCUAACGCAUUAAGUAGACCGCCUGGGGAGUACGGCCGCAAGGUUAAAACUCAAAUGAAUUGACGGGGGCCCGCACAAGCGGUGGAGCAUGUGGUUUAAUUCGAUGCAACGCGAAGAACCUUACCUACUCUUGACAUCCAGCGAAGCCUUUAGAGAUAGAGGYGUGCCUUCGGGAGCGCUGAGACAGGUGCUGCAUGGCUGUCGUCAGCUCGUGUUGUGAAAUGUUGGGUUAAGUCCCGCAACGAGCGCAACCCUUAUCCUUGUUUGCCAGCACRUAAUGGUGGGAACUCCAGGGAGACUGCCGGUGAUAAACCGGAGGAAGGUGGGGACGACGUCAAGUCAUCAUGGCCCUUACGAGUAGGGCUACACACGUGCUACAAUGGCAGAUACAGAGGGCAGCGAGACAGCGAUGUUUAGCGAAUCCCUUAAAGUUUGUCGUAGUCCGGAUUGGAGUCUGCAACUCGACUCCAUGAAGUCGGAAUCGCUAGUAAUCGUGGAUCAGAAUGCCACGGUGAAUACGUUCCCGGGCCUUGUACACACCGCCCGUCACACCAUGGGAGUGGGCUGCACCAGAAGUAGAUAGCUUAACCUUCGGGAGGGCGUUUACCACGGUGUGGUUCAUGACUGGGGUGAAGUCGUAACAAGGUAGCCCUAGGGGAACCUGCGGCUGGUCCACCUCCUUAA
rnacentral:rRNA from 1 species